rnacentral:rRNA from 1 species
AUGUCCAUUUGCCCAUUUUCACCUGGUCGGAACAUUUGCCCCAGCGACCUACAUUUCGGUACAGAGGGAGUANNNNNNNNNNAACAAGCAACUCCUCAAGCAUCUCAACUAGCAUCUCGACAAGCAACUCAACAAGCAACUCCUCAAGCAUCUCGACAAGCAUCUCGACAAGCAACUCCUCAAGCAUCUCAACAAGCAACUCCUCAAGCAUCUCAACAAGCAUCUCGACAAGCAUCUCAACAAGCAACUCCUCAAGCAUCUCGACAAGCAUCUCAACAAGCAACUCUCUCCAUUAUCCCAAGAUUGUGCAGGGCAUUUGCAUAUACCUCUGGAGGGCAUAGCGGGUACUGGGCGAGGAGAUGA